rnacentral:misc_RNA from 1 species
GGGAGUGCCAUUCCUUCCUCUUCAAUCUUUUAAGGGUUCCCAAAGCAACAUCCCUGAAGGCGUGUAUACUUUAAGAUGGCGGGAACCUGGGCGAGCUGAGGCUGAUUUUGGCCGUUUUGAUGCAAAAACUGUAGUCAGGAAUGUUUACAUCCUCUUCUCCAAAAGUGAAAUACCAUUAGCUCAAGAAAAUCAAGAAGUAAUGGACUUAGUAGACCCAUCCACCCCUCUUCCUCCUUGGUUCACCGAGGAAGAUCUAGCAACUUAUGGAGCUCUCUAUGAGAAAUCUGGAUUUGAUACUGCAAUGAAAGUUCCUUAUAGGUCAUUCAAUGAAGAUUUGGGAAUAAAUGAUCCAAAAGUUGAAAUUCCAGCAC